UACAACUUUGCGCUAUCAUCAGGAAUGCGUUUUCGCAAGUACCGGUAAUCCGAAGGCGCGAUUAUGCUAUCACGCUACUAUGGGAUAUUUAUCUUGUGUAUUGCCACGGUAGCUGGAGCAUCGUUUCCGUCGGUGGGGAGAUGGUGUUCUAUCUGGUUCACGCUAAGUAGCGUUAGCGUGCUACUCACCUUACCGGAGAUCACACACCAAUGGUCACUCUUAGGAUUGAAUCUCUGGUCAAAUCAUGCAACGCAUAAGCCGACGUCUAACGAGCUUUUUGAACGUGACGCGACUCGAUUUUCCAGGGUGCUGAACUUCUUUCCCGUUCCGGUCGAAGAAGAGUGCCUGUCCGAGGACAAACGACGUCAGGGAAUAUGCAUGAACACAUAUGAGUGCCGUAUUCAGCGCGGGCAAUCUCACGGAUCGUGUGCGCUCGGUUUUGGCGUGUGCUGCAUAUUCACGGCAAGCUGCGACAAUGAGGUACAGAAUAAUCUGACCUACGUGACCAGUCCUGGUUUUCCCAACCUCAUCGACCGGCCUAUGAACUGUUCAGUGCUUGUACGAAAGAUCGAUACGGAGGUCAGCCAGUUGAGGAUCGACUUCGUCCAUUUCAACAUUGGUCAGCCAAACGCUUUGACUGGCGUGUGCGAUGGAGAUGUCAUGGUAAUUAACAGUAACAAGACAUCUUUCGAACUAUGCGGAUGGAACAGCGGACAACAUGUGUACGUGGACGUGGGCGAAGGCAACGAACCAAUCACUUUAAACUUCCGGCUGCCAAGCGGACUGCAGUCACGAAUGUGGGAGAUGCGGGUGAUGCAGCUGGGUUUCGAGCAACGUGCACCAGUUGGAUGUCUCCAAUACUUUCGCUCGCCCAACGGCACGCUAAGGACAUUUAAUUAUCUCCCGAACGGCAGAUAUCUCGCCGAACACGAUUACCUAUUAUGCGUACGUCAGGAAAGAGACAUGUGCGGUAUCUCUUAUCAACCUUGCACGCGAGACUCUUUUCGGAUAGGUCCUAAUAGAUCUCAAGAUAUGUCCAAUACGACCAAUAACACAAUUCCCGCAAUGAUCGCUGCAAACAGCGGAAAUGCCUCUACAGCUGUCGAUCCAAACGUCACUUCUGUAAACGGUUCCGGUAUGGACAUUGUCGAGGGAUCCGGAGCAGGAUUAUCUGAACAGGAAAUGGCUUUUAUCUCCAACAUGAAUUCGGUACCUUUUUUUGGAAGACGGUGCAGAGACAGGAUACUUAUUCCUUGCGAUUUCGAGGAAUUUAUUACACCGGGAAACAACAUGGCAGGUAUCUGUAAUUUGGAGCGUUGCGGCAGUUCACUGUGCGGCCGAAACGAACUCGACACAGAAGGCAAUUGCCGAGUCGAGACUUGGACUACUCCCUUUCGUAUAAGGGUAGCGUUUGGUCCGGGUAUCAACAUGGACGGCACAUUGGAAGACAAUGCCGGCAUGUGCCUCACGUACCAACAGUUAGCUUGUGUAGCUUGAGCGUUAUAAUUAUCUCACUCUUCUUAUGCAAGGCGCAUAAAACGUAAAGCAGAACGCUGGACGACCUAUAAAUGCGGAGACAACUGUCGAACAGAAGAAGGAAGCGUCAUCGACUGCAUCUGUACUGUCUGCAACACUGUUUCUGUAGCAUUGUCAAGCGACGUCGUUGUCGCUUUAGCAGGCGUAAAUAUAGGAAAUAUUUUCGAACGAAAUAAAGAAGAUUUCGCUUGCGGGGGAUUUUGUUCAUUCGGCUUAGACUAAUGGACGUGAGAUUACGGGACGGGAAUUAUGGGAUUGAGAUUGAAGUAUUGUGUUGUAUAAUUAAUACCGCAAAAAAAUCAAAGAGUCAAAUAGUUUUUAUUUACAAAUGAACUAGCUUAAAUCGUAAACGCAGCGCACAACUCUCGAUAUAGUGAUAUAUGUAUAUAUAUAUAUAUACAUAUAUAUAUAUACAUACGCCUUUGUGUCCCGCUUCUUUUUUUUUUCUCUUAUUCGAUUACCCGUCACGAUCAUCGGCUACAAUACGCAGUGUAUUAAUCACGGGGCACCGAUUUCUCACGUCGAGAUUUCCCCAAACGCGAGAUUAGCGGUAGAACGAUUAUUUAUAUAUAAUGUAUGUACGAUGGUAGCUUCCGCUGCGGAAGGCGCCGACGACAAUCACGGCAAUCGUUAGCGAUAACAAUAAUGACGUUACAAGAAUAAAUUAUAAUGUCGUUAAUACAAUAAUAAUGUCGACGAUGACAACAUCACCUCGAAUUGCUCUUCUAGAAGAAACGUGUGCUCGUCAUCUUGCCUCCGAAGAAGUCAAGAUCGCGUUAGUCUUCCUUUUAUACAAGCUAUUUCGCAUAUAUCUAUAUAUAUAUACGUCGUGUAUAAUAAUUAUAAUUCGUAAUUCAUAAUGAUAACGAUAAGAAAAUUAGCGGUAAUAUAAUGAAGACAAUUCGACGACAGUGGUGAACUGCAGCGGUUACUUCGAUGUCGUCGUCGGCGACGUCGCUGUCGUAUAAUUCGAAAUCAUACGUAUCUACCUACGAAGUCAAAAGGACUGUUAAGUAGCAUAAGAGAGGGCGGUGGUCGCGACGAACGUGUAUGCAAAUAUGUACGUGAUUAUGUGUGUCAUUGUAUACGGUCACUUAGUGCGGGGGCACAUGUUUUUGUCCUAUAAUACUCUAUAAUUUUUUGGAUAUCCGUGGGGCAUUUAACUCGCGAAGUGCUGAGGCCAUAUAUUUCGAGUAAAUCUAUACAGAAGUUAAGUUUAAAUAAAUAAUAAUACACGACGUAAAAAAGGGGUUUAUUUCUACUUUUUUUUUUUUUAUUGAAACGGUAUACCAAUUUUUAUUUCACAGCUGCUAUAUGUAAAACGCGUCAUAUAUAAUAGGCUUUCUACAAUAAACCAUGCAUUACUUAAACUUUAAGCUAUAAAAAAUUGACUAAUCACAGUCACAUGUGAGAACAAUAAUCGACCAUGAUUAAUCAAUUUUUUACUUAAGUCUUACAGCUUAGGUAAUAUUACAGCUGCUGUCAGUAGAAAAAAAUAGUUUUGCAACUGUUAUAAAAUUCUUUAAUAUGAUUAAUCUUGCCUUUAGAGUUUCUCACUGGAUCUGAGUAAUAUAAAUCAAUCAUAUUCAAGAAUUUUACAACAAAGUUGCAAAGCUGCUUUUUCUGUUAAAUGCAGCCAAUAGCUUAUCGCAGAAAGCCUAUAAAUGAUGUAUCAGUUGAAAUGCCCAACAAAAAUGUCCAACAAUAAUUUUGUAACAAAAAAUUAACGGUCGGUUGUCUUCAAAAUGAUUAAAUACCCCACUGUAUCCGAUUGAGCUACGUGUUCUUGAAGAACUGUCGGACGUUCGUCGUUGUAUUUACAUCGUCGAGCGAUACAACGGAGCAAUGUACAAUUCAUGGCGCUUACGGUAUGCACAGGUAACGUGAGACUCAAGCAAAUGAUAUUUGACAGUACGAUAUCGAAUCUCGAGAUAUUUUGUGGAAUAUCCGAUAAAAGAUUCAAGUCUGUUUCGCGAUGGUGAAUUUGACGAGAGAUUCGGAUGUUCGGAUGUCGGUAAUCUCCGAUAAGUUUUUUCCGAAGUUUAAAAAAUUUAUUUACGUAUAACAUGAAAAUCUCUUUCGACGAGAUUUUUUUUGUUUUUUUUGUUUAUCCUUACAUGCUUGUAUCGAGAGUUAUCAAAGAAUCCGAGAAGUUGUCACAUAUCCGAAGUAUAUCCGUUGGGAUAUAUGAAACUUCUAUACGAUUAUCUGGAAUUAUUAAUAUCCGAUUGAUAUCCGAAAGUUCGGAUGUCCGGAUAUAACUUGUACCUCCGUAUAAAACUUGUAUCCGCGUAACCUGCACAUCCCGUUAUCAAUUAACCGAAUUCUACGUAUUAGAAAACCUGGUAUUACAAAACCGGAUUUUUACCCUUGAUUCUGAACAGCAGCGAAAUCAAACGGAAAACGCUUAAAGGAAAACGCAGAAAGAAUACGUAACGUUAAAUGGAAAGUAACAGCACGCGAGUAAACACGUAGCGAGAAUAAAUUUAACGCGUUUGUAACGAGUCAGCAAAUGGAUAAUCAAUAAUCAUUAAUCAAUUUCGAUUAGCCGUGGCGUUAGCACAUCGCGUUAUCGUAUACCCGCUUAAGCCAGGCUUUAAAGUGGGACGCUCGAUGUUGAAAGCGAGGGUGUCGAGGGUACAUGCGUCAGGAAGAAUCGGAACAUUUUCGCGAAGAAAAAAAAAAAAAAAGAAAAAGAAAAAGUCUUGACUAUCCGGCAAUCCUGCGUAACUAAAAGCAAGGAGCGAACGCGAUGGUUAAACCGCAAGCGGCAAAUGUACAUUACUGUAAAUUAUGCUAACGUUACUGGCCGUCACGAAAUGAGUAGGUACCAUAAGACGUCGCUACCAAUGAUGCAGCAUCAGAGCAACAAAUGUGUGUGGAUCGCACAUACACAUGGAAUCUGUACACACUCGCUUUUUCCCCUUAAAAACUGUUGUGCGUGCGUGCUCAUUGUACCCGCCGCCGAUAUGCAUUUUCUUUUUUUCUCCUUCCCCCUUCCCCUCGCCCAUUUCUGGUCGUUUUACUGGGUCAUUUAAGGUAGGGGAAACGAUUGUAAUUCGUAAAUUGAUCGAUGAUUCUACGAGCGAUUAUCGUUUAUCGAAGAAGAGAGAGAGAAAGAGAGAGAGAGAGAGAGAGAGAGA
rnacentral:misc_RNA from 1 species